CUUAUAUUUUUUCCGUCCAAUAAAAGAUGUCUCGGUUUUAAUUAAAUUUGAAUGCAUCUAUACGCUAAGCCAUGUCUACAUACAUUCAAAUUUUGACAAAUUUUAGACAUCUUUUGUUGGACGGAGGGAAUAGUGU
rfam:Brachypodium distachyon strain Bd21 chromosome 1, whole genome shotgun sequence.